GGGCUGCAGUAUAUUGACUGUACAAAGGUAGCAUAAUCAUUAGUCAUUUAAUUGAUGACUUGUAUGAAAGAUUGGAUGAAAUAUAAGCUGUCUCUUUAUUAUUUAUAGAAUUUAAUUUUUUAAUUAAAAAGUUAAAAUAAAUUAAAAAGACGAGAAGACCCUAUAGAGUUUUAUAUUUAAAUUAAUUAAGAUUAUUUAUAAAUUUUUUAAUUAAAAUUAAUUUAUAUAUUUUGUUGGGGUGACAAAAAAAUAAGAAUAACUUUUUUUAAAGAUUAACAUAUAUAAGUGAUUUAAUGAUCCAAUAUUAUUGAUUAUAAGAAAAAAUUACCUUAGGGAUAACAGCGUAAUUUUUUUUUUUAGUUCAAAUAAAAAAAAGAGUUUGCGACCUCGAUGUUGGAUUAAGAUAAAAUUUAAAUG
rnacentral:rRNA from 1 species